rnacentral:rRNA from 1 species
AGCGAACGCUGGCGGCAGGCCUAACACAUGCAAGUCGAACGAACUCUUCGGAGUUAGUGGCGGACGGGUGAGUAACACGUGGGAACGUGCCUUUUGGUUCGGAAUAACUCAGGGAAACUUGUGCUAAUACCGAAUGUGCCCUUCGGGGGAAAGAUUUAUCGCCAUUAGAGCGGCCCGCGUCUGCUUAGCUAGUUGGUGAGGUAACGGCUCACCAAGGCGACGAUCAGUAGCUGGUCUGAGAGGAUGACCAGCCACACUGGGACUGAGACACGGCCCAGACUCCUACGGGAGGCAGCAGUGGGGAAUCUUGCGCAAUGGGCGAAAGCCUGACGCAGCCAUGCCGGGUGAAUGAUGAAGGUCUUAGGAUUGUAAAAUUCUUUCACCGGGGACGAUAAUGACGGUACCCGGAGAAGAAGCCCCGGCUAACUUCGUG